rnacentral:lncRNA from 1 species
UGGUUAGAGAGUUGGAACUUUCAGUCCCACUACACCCUCCCCCGCCCACCGCCUCAGCAACCAACCUCCAGGGAGGGGAAAGGGGGCAGAAGUUUGAGUUAAUAACUAAUAGCUAAAGAUGUAAACAAUAAGCCUCCAUAAAACCCCAAAAGGACUGGACUGGUUUCUGAGAGCUUCCAGGUUGUUGAGCACGUGGAGGUUCUGGGAGGGUCCACACCCAGAGAAGGCAUGGAAGCUGACCCCUUCCCCAUACCUUGCUCUUUGCAUCUCUUCCAUUUGGCUGUUCCCGAGUUGUAUACUUUGUAAUAAGUGGGAUUUCCACCCAACAACAAUUCAGCCACACUGCUUCACACAUCUAGAAUCCAUCCAAAAUUGUAAAGGCUUUGUGGCACUACAGUGAAACAGGCAAGAACAUCUUCCAAACAUCCAGCACAAGAGCACACAGGAGGCCGGCAUAAUCACGAAUUGCAGCUGUCUGAAGGGCAGUCACAUAAAAGAGGAGAAGCUUCACCUUUGCUUCACAAGGCACAUCUUGAACCAGGGAUGGAAAUUACAGAGAGGCCAAAACCAGCUCGGUGUGAGCAGGACUGGUAACAGACUGGCCAAGCAACAGAAGGGGCUGCCCUGUGAAGAAGCAAGCUCUCUGUCAAUGGGAGGUGCAAGCUGAGCCUGCACUACCUUUUGUCACGGUUGCUAUGGAAAAGAUUAAGAGCCCGGAUAGCCCUUCCUCCUCUGGGGGCCUGGGCAUCAGCAAGUCGGAUGGCAGUGGAAGGUGGAGAAAUGGAAUCCUGCUGGGGGCUCAGGAGGCCUGCCCCCUGAUGCUGCCGUGCACUGCAGAUGUCCUUGAUGAAGAGAAUGAAUGGAAGUGCCAGAAAGCCUUUAACAUAUUGGGUCCGGUCUAGAUUUGUAAGGAAGUAUGGCUGAAUUGUUAUCGGGUGGAUACAGUUUACAUGUUUAAAGCUGUCUUUCUCAAUGGCAAAAGGGCAUACUGCUGUUAUUGUCAGUGAGGGGUCAGUAGUUUAAAUGAUGAAACUCUGGGGAUCAGCGUAAAGUAAACCAACAUACUGCAUGUAAGUAUCAAGUAAAUGAGCAGAGACAGCCCCUGGUUUACAAACACCUGACUUAAGCAUCGUCCAUCCUACAGGACAGGGAAGGAGGAAGAAGCUUCGAGAGGCUGGAACAGUUGAGGGAGCGCUGACACGGUAAAGGCCACUUUGCUCAUCAUCACCAGGCGUGCUGCCGAAAAUUUCCACUCUGUUUACUCCCAAGACCUUACUCCUACUAUGUGGAGACACAUUUGAAUAAAAAAUUGGCCUCUUUUCAAAGUCAAAAUUCUG